rnacentral:rRNA from 1 species
GAUGAACGCUGGCGGCGUGCCUAAUACAUGCAAGUCGAACGGACAGGCCCUGAUCUUGCUCGGCUCUCGUGUGGGGCAGAGGUGUGUGACACGCGUGUAUAAUCUCCCUGUAAUUGGGGGAAAAUUUCGGAAAAGCGGCUCUUAUCGCGUAGGAGAUCUUGAACCGCGGGGGUCGAUGGUAAGAUACGGUGUUUCCGGAGGUUGUGGAGGGAUUCCCGCCUUAUUGUGUUGUUGGUGGGGUAGUGGCCUACUAAGGCUAUGACGCCUAGCCGGCCUGAGAGGGUGACCGGCCACAUUGGGACUGAGAUACGGCCCAGACUCCUACGGGAGGCAGCAGUGGGGAAUAUUGCACAAUGGGCGGAAGCCUGAUGCAGCAACGCCGCGUGCGGGAUGACGGCCUUCGGGUUGUAAACCGCUUUCGCCUGUGACGAAGCGUGAGUGACGGUAAUGGGUAAAGAAGCACCGGCUAACUACGU